AGAGUUUGAUCCUGGCUCAGGAUGAACGCUGGCGGCGUGCUUAACACAUGCAAGUCGAACGGAGUACCCUUGAAGGAGUUUUCGGACAACUGAUAGGACUACUUAGUGGCGGACGGGUGAGUAACGCGUGAGUAACCUGCCUUGGAGUGGGGAAUAACAGCUGGAAACAGCUGCUAAUACCGCAUAAUGCAGUUGGGUCGCAUGGCUCUGACUGCCAAAGAUUUAUCGCUCUGAGAUGGACUCGCGUCUGAUUAGCUAGUUGGCGGGGUAACGGCCCACCAAGGCGACGAUCAGUAGCCGGACUGAGAGGUUGGCCGGCCACAUUGGGACUGAGACACGGCCCAGACUCCUACGGGAGGCAGCAGUGGGGAAUAUUGGGCAAUGGGCGCAAGCCUGACCCAGCAACGCCGCGUGAAGGAAGAAGGCUUUCGGGUUGUAAACUUCUUUUCUCAGGGACGAAGAAAGUGACGGUACCUGAGGAAUAAGCCACGGCUAACUACGUGCCAGCAGCCGCGGUAAUACGUAGGUGGCAAGCGUUAUCCGGAUUUACUGGGUGUAAAGGGCGUGUAGGCGGGGAAGCAAGUCAGAUGUGAAAACCACGGGCUCAACCUGUGGCCUGCAUUUGAAACUGUUUUUCUUGAGUACUGGAGAGGCAGACGGAAUUCCUAGUGUAGCGGUGAAAUGCGUAGAUAUUAGGAGGAACACCAGUGGCGAAGGCGGUCUGCUGGACAGCAACUGACGCUGAGGCGCGAAAGCGUGGGGAGCAAACAGGAUUAGAUACCCUGGUAGUCCACGCUGUAAACGAUGGAUACUAGGUGUGGGGGGGGCUGACCCCCUCCGUGCCGCAGUUAACACAAUAAGUAUCCCACCUGGGGAGUACGAUCGCAAGGUUGAAACUCAAAGGAAUUGACGGGGGCCCGCACAAGCGGUGGAGUAUGUGGUUUAAUUCGAAGCAACGCGAAGAACCUUACCAGGGCUUGACAUCCCGAUGACCGCUCUAGAGAUAGAGUUUUCUCUUCGGAGACAUCGGUGACAGGUGGUGCAUGGUUGUCGUCAGCUCGUGUCGUGAGAUGUUGGGUUAAGUCCCGCAACGAGCGCAACCCUUAUUGUUAGUUGCUACGCAAGAGCACUCUAGCGAGACUGCCGUUGACAAAACGGAGGAAGGUGGGGACGACGUCAAAUCAUCAUGCCCCUUAUGUCCUGGGCCACACACGUACUACAAUGGUGGUCAACAGAGGGAAGCAAUACCGCGAGGUGGAGCAAAUCCCUAAAAGCCAUCCCAGUUCGGAUCGCAGGCUGCAACCCGCCUGCGUGAAGUUGGAAUCGCUAGUAAUCGCGGAUCAGCAUGCCGCGGUGAAUACGUUCCCGGGCCUUGUACACACCGCCCGUCACACCAUGAGAGUCGGGAACACCCGAAGUCCGUAGCCUAACCGCAAGGGGGGCGCGGCCGAAGGUGGGUUCGAUAAUUGGGGUGAAGUCGUAACAAGGUAACC
rnacentral:rRNA from 1 species